rnacentral:rRNA from 1 species
AUGAUUCUCGCCCGAACCACCGUAUGCAUUGCCUGUAGAGAUUUUUCACUAUUCACCCACGUCUUCAUCCCACCUCAGCUUGCUGCCACGCGCUCACCUCCCCCGCGCCUUCGCCCCCACCAUCCCCAAGUAGCACUUCCUGACCCCCAAUUCAGACCUCAUCGGUGGCCGCGGCUCCAGGGAUGGCGUCGCGAUGGUAUGAGGAGCUACGCUUGGAUCUGCUCCCUAGCCGAAUCUGCUCCAUGGCUCAUCCAGCUGAGUAAUUUGAUUGUCGCAUUCUUGCUUGAGAGGUUAUCUCGUUCCCGAGGGGAACGACGUUUGAGCGGCCGCCGCCGGAUUUAG